UCACGUGGGAGCUCCACGUCGCGCCUGACUUCGUCAGCGUCCAUCCUGCACUUCAGAGGAGGCAUUCAGGGGUGCUAAAAGUGAGUAGGCGUUGACGAAAAUGGCACUUGUUAUCAUCCUAUAGACAUAGACUGCAGGCAGAGUUGUUACCUGCUCCUUUUCCUUGAGUUUCGCUUCUUUAUUCUGUUUGGCCUUGGCUUCGAAGUCUUCCUUCAACGGCCGUGCCUUCUCAAGGUCUCCUGCAGUCGCAAGAGUCUAUCAUUCAGAUCUACACCGGCUUGCGAGGUCACUAACAUACAAAAAGCUACUGCAGCCUGAGUUCCAGCUUGGUGGAGCAGCUAAAUUCCGCCAGAGGAGAAGCACAGAAGAAGUCCUUGCUGCACACGUUUUGCCUUCCAGAACCACAUCCGUUGGAUGCGGUCGGGAUCUGCGGCUUGCUUCAGUAGCUUGCAAAGCUUCUCCGAGUCCGUCUUGCUGAUUCAGAUGUGCUUGGGAUCCCCAGGUAUCAUUUUAACUCAAAUAUUACUCAUUGUCUACUCAGUCGCAUCAGUAAUAUGAUAGCUCUUACCGGCACAAUAUGCGUCUUGCACAACGGCAAAAUGAAAGCAAGAACGGCGCAAUCCUCUUUCAAUCGAAGGCUUCGGGCUGUCCCCCAAUUCUG
rnacentral:lncRNA from 1 species